rnacentral:rRNA from 1 species
GACGAACGCUGGCGGCGUGCUUAACACAUGCAAGUCGAACGGUGAAGCUCCAGCUUGCUGGAGUGGAUCAGUGGCGAACGGGUGAGUAACACGUGAGCAACCUGCCCCUGACUCUGGAAUAAGCGCUGGAAACGGCGUCUAAUACUGGAUACGAGAAGGGUCCGCAUGGGCACUUUCUGCAAAGUUUUUCGGUUGGGGAUGGGCUCGCGGCCUAUCAGCUUGUUGGUGAGGUAAUGGCUCACCAAGGCGACGACGGGUAGCCGGCCUGAGAGGGCGACCGGCCACACUGGGACUGAGACACGGCCCAGACUCCUACGGGAGGCAGCAGUGGGGAAUAUUGCACAAUGGGCGAAAGCCUGAUGCAGCGACGCCGCGUGAGGGAUGACGGCCUUCGGGUUGUAAACCUCUUUCAGCAGGGAAGAAGCGAAAGUGACGGUACCUGCAGAAGAAGCACCGGCUAACUACGUG